rnacentral:rRNA from 1 species
UACGUAGGGGGCAAGCGUUGUCCGGAUUUAUUGGGCGUAAAGGGCGUGUAGGCGUCUAGGGAGGUCCGUUGUAAAAACUCGAGGCUCAACCUCGAGACGCCGAUGGAAACCAUCUAGCUAGAGUCCGGAAGAGGAGAGUGGAAUUCCUGGUGUAGCGGUGAAAUGCGCAGAUAUCAGGAGGAACACCGGUGGCGAAGGCGGGUCUCUGGGCCGAUACUGACGCUGAGGAGCGAAAGCGUGGGGAGCAAACGGG